AUGGCAUCUUCUUUUGUCUCAUUGCAGAUUUUACCAUUGCCUGACCAGGCUCAUCCUGAACACGACCUGUUUUUAAGAUGCUCACCACAAUACAAAGACGAAGAUGAUGAUGAUGAUGACGUUGAUUGUGAUGUUGAUUGUGAUGAUGAUGAUGAUGAUGUCCAGAUAACAGAUUGGAAAGAAAACGACUUGAUGCUGGAGAGUCUAAGUGACGAGGAGACUCAUCCAGUUUGUCCUGAGGAUGGCCUGUUUUUAAGAGGCUCACCACAACGCAAAGAUGAAGAACAAAAAGAUGAUGAUGAUGAUGAUGAUAAUAAUGAUGUCCAGAUAACAGCUUGGAAAGACAGUGACUUGAUGGUGGAGAGUCUAAGUGAAGAGGAGAUUCAUCCAGGGUGAAGGCCUUCCGAGGAGCUGACCAGGGUGCUGACCCAAAGGGCAGGCCAGCGCAUGCUACAGGGACAUCUGAGGGAGGCUCAAGUUCUGCAGUCAGGCGUUUUCCCAGGCUUGGCGUAAAGAAGUGAUGGAGACUUUCGUGUGAUUCCUAGGCUCCCCUCCUGGACAGCACCAGGAAUGUGCCUUCGAGGUGGCUGGGCUUCAGGCCAGCCUGGGGGCGUGCUUGGGUGACUGAAGAAUGCAGCUAUUUGCUGGGAAGAUCUUAAGGAGGAAACCAGAACCUCUCCCUCUCCCAAGCUCUCAUCCUUGGGGGAGCUUGUCAUCCUCAGUCAAAAGACAGAGUCAUCCUCAGUCAAAAGAACCUGCAUCGGGUUUCACCUUUUGCCUUCUUUCCUGCCACCCAGGGUGGUGAGGGGGCAGACCUGGCUGAGCAGAGCCACACCCAGCCACACACUCCAUGGGUCAAUCACUGGAGCUUCUGAAACCUGCAGCUGGGUUCCUUCCUUCCCCCAGCCCAAGUUCCUGCCCCCAGCUUUGUCCCUGGAAGUCUCAAUCCUGCUCUCUACAUUCUGAGGGGAACUCUUGGCCCCAGCAGACAGUAAAACUCCAAGGCCACCUCCCAUCCACCCCCAGCACUGGGUUUGGCCUUUACCACCCAGGACCUGGUGCUUCUAGGCCUGGCAUUUCCCCUUUGGCAAGAGAGUGGGAAGAGACAUAACUGUGCUCCAGGAACAAAAAGUGCCAUUCCGACUUGAAAUAAAGAGUCUGAGCGCAUUGAUUCAGGUGCAGAGGUGGCUGAUCAGAUCUGACCCAAUGAGGGGCUCAGGGCUUCCACUCAAUGACAUGGAUGGCGAUCUGGGUCGCCUGUCAUAAGGUCUUGCCCUCGUAAGCCUUGUUGUAAGAGUCCUCCUCAGGGACAUGGAAGGUGUGCAUGUGGGCCUGCCUGUAGGACCUUGCAGUCCUCGGGGGCCUCUGGCAGCAUGGUGAGGGCCUUGGUGGCCUUCAGGCACACACUGCCCAUGGGUGAGUACAGCAGCUCCAGGAGCAGGCUAAUGGCUUGUGCGUCCAGGGCCACGUACUUCCCAGCAGGCCACCAACACAGGGCAUUCCUAACAGCCUGAGUGGGCCUCUUUUCACCCCCUUACAACCUAGCCCUCAAGGGGAGGUGCCACCCUGUCCCCACCCUGCAGUGAUUCACUGAUUCAUUCACACAGCAAGACGCUGAGGCAAGAGCUGGGCUUUCCCAUCUCAGCGCUCUUUUGGGCCAGGUGAUUUUCAACUUGGAGCCAAAGCUCUCCUACUGCGACCUUUGGGUCUGGAGCAGCAAACAGAGCAAAGCUUUGUCCUCUGGAGCUCCCCUUGGGGAUGACAGAAAGUGAUGGCAAGGAUGGUGGUCACAGUGGACACAGGAGGAUGCGGGGAGGCUGGGGAGGCCACAGUUUCAGAGAGAAAGCUCUCUCUUGGAAAGCCACUCUCCAGGUCCCACGGAAAGGCACCUCUGUGCAAACCUAAGAUGACGGGGCAGGGGUGGGGCCUGGGAACCUGCAUUUCCACAGACCACCCAGAGUCUGGUUCAGGGGCCACACUUGGAGAAAUACCCGGGCCUCUAAUGAGACUCUCAGAAGAAAGAGAAGCCAGGACUUAGGGAAGGCAAGAGGUACACCCCAGCAAAGGGACGUGACCACAGCCAAGGCAGGGACUCUGUGUGUUGGUGACCGGCCCAUCCUCACAAUGAAGGGCCCAGUGUAGGAACACCCCCCAACCACCACAAGCUCUGAGUCUUUGUGCUCCCCCAGUUUUGAGGCCAGUAUGUAAACUGUGAUUCUGUGUGGCCUGGGGUGAGAGACA
rnacentral:lncRNA from 1 species